AGGACGUGUGGUUCUAUUUUGUUGGUUUCUAGGACCGCCGUAAUGAUUAAUAGGGACAGUCGGGGGCAUCAGUAUUCAAUUGUCAGAGGUGAAAUUCUUGGAUUUAUUGAAGACUAACUACUGCGAAAGCAUUUGCCAAGGAUGUUUUCAUUAAUCAGGAACGAAAGUUAGGGGAUCGAAGACGAUCAGAUACCGUCGUAGUCUUAACCAUAAACUAUGCCGACUAGGGAUCGGACGAUGUUAUUUUUUGACGCGUUCGGCACCUUACGAGAAAUCAAAGUGCUUGGGCUCCAGGGGGAGUAUGGUCGCAAGGCUGAAACUUAAAGAAAUUGACGGAAGGGCACCACCAGGGGUGGAGCCUGCGGCUUAAUUUGACUCAACACGGGGAAACUCACCAGGUCCAGACACAAUGAGGAUUGACAGAUUGAGAGCUCUUUCUUGAUUUUGUGGGUGGUGGUGCAUGGCCGUUCUUAGUUGGUGGAGUGAUUUGUCUGCUUAAUUGCGAUAACGAACGAGACCUUAACCUGCUAAAUAGACCGUAUUGCUCUGGCAGUACGCCGUCUUCUUAGAGGGACUAUCGGCUCAAGCCGAUGGAAGUUUGAGGCAAUAACAGGUCUGUGAUGCCCUUAGAUGUUCUGAGCCGCACGCGCGCUACACUGACGAAGCCAGGCGGAGUACUUCCCUUGGCCGGAAGGCCCGGGUUCAUCUGAUAAUUAUUCUU
rnacentral:rRNA from 1 species